rnacentral:rRNA from 1 species
GAUGGACGCUGGCGGCGUGCCUAAUACAUGCAAGUCGAGCGAACAGACGAGGAGCUUGCUCCUCUGACGUUAGCGGCGGACGGGUGAGUAACACGUGGAUAACCUACCUAUAAGACUGGGAUAACUUCGGGAAACCGGAGCUAAUACCGGAUAAUAUAUUGAACCGCAUGGUUCAAUAGUGAAAGACGGUUUUGCUGUCACUUAUAGAUGGAUCUGCGCCGCAUUAGCUAGUUGGUAAGGUAACGGCUUACCAAGGCAACGAUGCGUAGCCGACCUGUGAGGGUGAUCGGCCACACUGGAGCUGGAACACGGUCCAGACUCCUGCGGGAGGCAGCAGUAGGGAAUCUUCCGCAGUGGGCGAAAGCCUGACGGAGCAACGCCGCGUGAGUGAUGAAGGUCUUCGGAUCGUAAAACUCUGUUAUUAGGGAAGAACAAAUGUGUAAGUAACUAUACACGUCUUGACGGUACCUAAUCAGAAAGCCACGGCUAACUACGUG